UAACACAUGCAAGUCGAACGAUNAACCUCCUUCGGGAGGGGAUUAGUGGCGAACGGGUGAGUAACACGUGGGCAAUCUGCCCUUCACUCUGGGACAAGCCCUGGAAACGGGGUCUAAUACCGGAUACGAGCCUCCAAGGCAUCUUGGNGGUUGGAAAGCUCCGGCGGUGAAGGAUGAGCCCGCGGCCUAUCAGCUUGUUGGUGAGGUAACGGCUCACCAAGGCGACGACGGGUAGCCGGCCUGAGAGGGCGACCGGCCACACUGGGACUGAGACACGGCCCAGACUCCUACGGGAGGCAGCAGUGGGGAAUAUUGCACAAUGGGCGAAAGCCUGAUGCAGCGACCCGCGUGAAGGAUGACG
rnacentral:rRNA from 1 species